ACUCUAUCCUGGGUGAAAGAGUGAGAUCUUGCCUCAGGAAAAAAAAAAAAAAAAAGCCCUUUGUCUUGAAGCAUUGCUUAGAGCAAUGGGUUUUCCAACUUGUUUUAGCUAUAGAAUCUUUUAUUCCAAGGAGAACAUAUCAUGAAUCUCAACAUAGAAAGAAGAUAAAAAUGGAGUUUCCUGGCUGAAACUCCAUGGGACUGUAAAACCUUUACAUUCUAUUUAUGAUAAAGACCAGGCCCCGUGCCAUGAUCUGAAAGGCUAUGUGUGGUCUGAAAUUUCCCCAUUUCCCUGUCUCAUCUCCACCCACUGACCUGCUUCUAAUUCCUUAAACUCUGGGUGUUCCCUCUCAUCCCAGGCCUCUGAAAUCUGCCACCCUCUUUGGAAUAGUCUGUCCUUGCUCCCCUUCACCUAGUUAGCUUCCACUGGUCCUUCACAUUUUAUUAUUUCACUGGGAAAUCUUUCCCAGCCAUCAGGUCUAGACUGAAAUCCCUGUUAUGAAAAUGCAUUUCCCCAUGUCCCUCUCCUCAUUUAUAUUUGAUUUAUUUUGGGUCCGCAUGAAUUUUGUCUACCUUUGCUUACCAUUCUGCUUGUCACAAACAGUCUCUUUCUUUUUUUAAUUUUAAUAUUUAUUUAAUUUAAUUUUUUUUUUUUUUUUAAGAGACGAGGUCUCUUUAUGUUGCCCAGGCUGGUCUCAAACUCCUGGCCUCAAGUGAUCCUCUCACCUCAGCCUGCUGAGAAGCUGGGAUUACAGGUGUGAGCCACCACACUUGGCUACAAAAUAGGCUGUUAAUAAAUAUCUGAUGAUGUUUGAAUGGGAUGGGAGGCUCUAAAGCCAUCUGGCCUGACUUUCACUUUCUUGAUUUCUAUUGGCUACCGAUGGAAAAAAACACUGGACUGAAUUAUUUGUAAGGUAUCUUUUGAGCCUAAUGCUCUAUAGAACUAUUGUUGCAGCUCCAGUUGCAUAUAAAAUGGAGUAGCAGUGUGGGCAGGUGGGCAGAGCUGGGUCUCUCUUCCUUUAGACUUUAUAUUCUGGGCCUAGGACCUGAAGGUGAGUAGUUAGUUUGCUUCCUCCCCAUAGGCUUGCUUCUGGAUGACACUGAUCUUCAGUGAAAUGGCAGAGUUUGGCCAACACCAUUAGCAGCCCAAUGUCAUUCCAACAAACUGCAUCCACUAAAUGGCAGGACUGAAAGUGUACUAUAGCAAAACCUUUUGAAAGAAAAAAGGGAAAUCUUGAACUAGUUCUUCCUUUUAUUGGGUGGAAAUUUCCUUCACAACAAUACAGACUUGGUUGGCUCCCAAAGCUCUCUUCUUCAAGAAACAGACCUAGGCAAGUCUGUGGAGAAGAUCAGGGCUUGAGGCUUCCAAAGCUUAGGGGCAAGAUUGGAAGGGUCAGGUGCCCACAAAGGCUGGCAAAAAAUGCAGAUGAGUGAAGUGGAGCUGGUGGGUCCACAGUAUAUAAGAGAAUGCAGUGGGCCAAAUUAAGGAGCAGGCUACUGCUACUCUACCCCAGUCAACUGUUGGAGUGCGGGAGGGUGAGUCCCAGGUUGUCAACUCUUCUGAUUUUUCUAGGGAUGCCUGACAUUGGAAUUGCCAUGCAAAGUCUUCUAUUUUAAAUGUUGGAACUAAUCCUAUAAAGUGUUACAAAAUAUUUCCAGGCCAAACCCGAAAAUGCAUGUGGGCUAGUUUUGGCUUGCGGGCUCUCUUCUGAUUAGGAGUUUGGAAAAGUCUCCAACUUCUUUUGUCUCCCUAGGAGUCCUUUGGAUUAUAAUAAUAAUAAAAAAAUUCAUUCUGAGAAUGGAGAUGAGAAAAGAGGAAAUGUGCCCGGGGCUGCCAGGCUGGCGUAUGAAUGUCCGCGCACCCACUCUACCAGGCAAAACACAAAAGAAACCGCCCCCAGGGAAGCUGACUAGGCCACUGUGGCGUGUCACUGACAUCGGAAUUACAUUAAAUUAUCACCACACGAGUGCCUUCCACUGUUGUUAUUUGUGUUCCAAAAUAUCCCAAUGAAUUCUAAAAGGAGCGUUAUGUUCCCUUAAAGAGAAGAACCUAAUGUUCUGUCCUUUAUUAGAACCCACUCAGGAAAAUGAGCUCAUUGUGAAUGUGAGCAAUCCCUUCUCUCUGGGGGCAGAGAAGGAAACAGGGAGAAUUGAUGAAGGCUUUUGAUUAGUUCACUGACAAGUUUUCUUUUGGUUUUAUUGUUGCUUUGUCUUUCCCCCAACAGAAGUCCACCUGAUGGUCUCAGAUCAGAACCAAUGUGAAGAUGUGAUGAGAGCUGAGGAUCUAUGGAAGAACUCUAAGGCCCUGGGAUGGUGAAGCCUCAAGAUAGAAGAAAUCUGUGAGUCUGAAUGAUCAUGAGUAAUGUGGCUCGUUGACUUGGAAUGUCUGCAAAUUGACAUUUUAUGAGCAAGGGAUAAAUUAUCAUGGUUCAACGUUGCCGAGGUUUUGGGGUUUAUUCGAAAUAGCACCUAGCAUUAUUUACCCUAACUCAUAUAGUGGCUAUUUCACCAAAUGAAGAAAUGGUAAUCUAGUGUAAGACUGGAUUGAAAUCUGGCUCUGUUGGAUUGAUAGAGGAGGUGUGUGAUCCUCCAGUAUGGUUCCUUGAUAUGUGAUUUUUGUUUUAGGAGCUGACUUUAGAGUCUCCACCAUAGACAUAACAUGUGACUUCUCUAUAUGCAGUAUCCUGCAGAAUGGCUCACUGAUAAGGCAAUUCAAACUAAGGUAAUAAUUUGGUCAGAUGAGGAGGUAAACACCUUAACUCCCAUCUUCCCAGCACAUAACACCACAACACUUUCAGUCACCAUUUCUGCACAACUGGGAUGUUAACUUGGUCUUCUCUGACCAGGUGAAUAUAGCAAGGAAUUCCCAGGCAUUCUUUCAGAAACUCUGGUCCUAAAUCAGGCUGGAACUCAGUUCAACAACAUUUCCAGUCCAGGUGGCCUUAUUCAUAUUUGAAUAGGGACAAAAAUCCCAACCCCAAAGACUGUGGGUUAUAAAUGAGAAAUACACACACAUGCACACACACGUAUGUACACACAGGCACACAUGUGCACACACGCAUACACACAACUACUGUGCCUGGUGUACAGUAUACUUUUUUAAAUCCUGUAAAACCAAAAUCAGAUUCUAAGAGUUUCUUCAGGGAUCAAAGAAUAGACACCUUUCAAAAAAUGUGAGAAUAUAAUGAUGGGCCACCCUGACCCUCCCACAAAUAACAACUAUAACCUCUGAAGGCAGUG